UAAGUAAAUGGGAGACCAGCAUUCAGUAGAAAAGUCUAAUAAUCCAUUGUAUUUAGGCAACAUCCAUGGUAUUUAACAACGACUGCAAUGUAGAUCUCUACGAAUAAGUUUCUAAUAGGGAGGAAUUUCAAACGAUCGUUAAAGUUGAGAUAGAAGAAGAUAACGGCUCGAUACAAUCAAAUCAAAGAAAGACAAAACCAGAGGAGAGACGCCGCAAAUGUUACUUGUCGCACAAGUUGUGGUGAUGGUGUCGCGUUUUGAUGUCAAGGUGUCGUUAAAUUACAUUCUGACUUGUCUACACCGACUUCGAGAUUCUUUGCCAUUUCCAAUCGGAAUGAUCAGUUUAGUUGAGUUUUUACGGUGAAAAUUUAGCCACGGUUUGAUUUUGAAAAGUGAUGAGGUAUUUCCACACCAUUCGACCAAGCUUAAUCGAAAGUGAACAAUUCUAAGGCAUCAUGCCGAAAAUCUUUUGCCUUUCUCCACGUGAUCGCUGCCGUGUCAUGACGAUGCUUCUUUGAGAGGGUCUCUAUACUAUAUUGCAAGACAAAAACGUGUUGAGAACAGGAAAUCUGAGUUGAUUAUAAUGUACUGUAUUUUUAAGAUAA